AUUCAACUGACGAGUCCUAAAUAGUACGAAACACACGUCAAACUGGAU
rfam:Schistosoma mattheei strain Denwood, Zambia genome assembly, scaffold: SMTD_scaffold0008676